UUUAAUUGAAGAGUUUGAUCAUGGCUCAGAUUGAACGCUGGCGGCAGGCCUAACACAUGCAAGUCGAGCGGCAGCACAGAGGAACUUGUUCCUUGGGUGGCGAGCGGCGGACGGGUGAGUAAUGCCUGGGAAAUUGCCCGGUAGAGGGGGAUAACCAUUGGAAACGAUGGCUAAUACCGCAUAACCUCGCAAGAGCAAAGCAGGGGACCUUCGGGCCUUGCGCUA
rnacentral:rRNA from 1 species